GCCUCUAUGGCUCAGUGGUAGAGCGUCGCACUUGUACCAGUCUACAAGGUCAUGCGAAGGUCCAUAGUUCGAUCCUGUGUGGAGGCU